rnacentral:lncRNA from 10 species
UUGCUAAAAUGACUAUUUGUUGGCCCUUGAUGGUUAGACACAGAGGAGGUGGUGGUGAAAUGUUCUUUAGGCGAGAAUGGCAGUUGGAACUGUUGUGAUGGAACUGGAUUCCCUGAAUUCACUGAGGAUGAUGGGAUCCUGGUGGAUCAGUGAAUCAAGCUGAAGCUCUGAAUCUCAGACGAGGACAGGUGGUGAUGGGGAGCAGAGCCCAAGCAGCCACCAGAGUAGUCUAACCUGUAGUGUCUUUGGUGUUGAUCGUGGUGUCCUUGAAACUGAAGUAGUUGAGCAGCUUACUGAAAUCUUCACCUGUAUAGGCCUUGCAAACAGAGGAACUGACUGACUUUGUUCUAAACUACAUUUUCAAGGAAGUUUGUAUAGUGACUAGACUUGGAAGAAAGACACAGUGUCUCCCUCCAAAGCAAAAGUUAGGCAUGCAUACUGUACAGUAUAAUAAUAAUGAUGCCUGCUUCUGGAGCAAAGGGCAGAUAUGCUUACUGCCCAUUAUAAAAGACUCAGGUUCCUAAAGCUCAGGGUUUUGUUCCUGUAAUGGAAUCCAAUGUGUGUACAUGUGUCACAUGAUCCUUUUUGUGUUGCUCUGUAGGAAGUGGGGCUUGGGGAACUGGUGCAAGAAAUGCUGAUAUUCUGGUUACCAUUAUUGCUAU